CAAUAGCGUAUAUUAAAGUUGUUGCAGUUAAAAAGCUCGUAGUUGGAUUUGUGGCGUACGGUGUGUUCCGGGCACUUGUUGUCUGAGUAACCUGCUGUUGCCAUCCUUGGGUGGAACCUGUGUGGCAUUAGGUUGUCGUGCAGGGGAUGCCCAUCAUUUACUGUGAAAAAAUUAGAGUGUUCAAAGCAGGCUUAUGCCGUUGAAUAUAUUAGCAUGGAAUAAUGAGAUAGGACUUUUUUGCUAUUUUGUUGGUUUGCGCAAAGAGGUAAUGAUUAAUAGGGACAGUUGGGGGUAUUCGUAUUCCAUUGUCAGAGGGGAAAUUCUUGGAUUUUUGGAAGACGAACUACUGCGAAAGCAUUUACCAAGGAUGUUUUCAUUAA
rnacentral:rRNA from 1 species